AAAAUUUAUAUGAUUUCAAAAUUAUAUAGAAUUUAAUUUUAUUGAUAAUACAUUAAUAACUACGUAUA
rnacentral:tRNA from 1 species